AGAGAGAAGAAGAGAGAAAACCAAGAGAGCAAGGGAAGAAGAGGAAGAUUGAAGGAAGAAGCAAGGGAGCUCCUCCCCAAGGUUGUGAUGGUCCAGAUCCACUACCUUGUCUCCUUCAAGCUUCGGUUCCACCAUCCUUGGUGAGAUUGUUCCAAUCCCUAGUUCUUGAGCUCCAAAUCCUGUUGUGUUCAUCCAAGAUUCAGAAAUCUUGAUGUAUGAGAUCCUCUAGUGCUGUCUAGAGAAGAACUUGUUGUAUCCCACGUUUGAUAAUAGUGGAAGAGGAUUUGGGUGGCUUCGGACCGUGGUUUUUCCCCUCAAGUUGGGGAAUUUUCCACGUAAAAAUCUGGUGUCUCUUUGUUGAUGCUUGAUGCUGUCAGGAAAACUUACUCCUACCACAAGACACUAGGCUGAGGAGUGUCUUGCCUGCUGAGUAACAUUUUCUGCCUCCAUAUAUGCUGCUGCAUAUGUUUCCUUCCGUGCUAAGCAACGAUCCUUGAAUUAGUACAUGAUGUGGUGCUGAGAUUACUUGUUUCCGUUGCAGUUUUCAGUUAACCACAAGUGCAUUUGUGUGCUAAUUCUCAACAGAGUGGUAUCAGAGCCUUGGUUGCUUAGAAGGUUGCAAAUCACAGUUGCUUGAUUAUUGCUGGAAGAGCUGCUCACAAUGGCUUUGGAAGAAAGCGCUACUACAAGUGGCAUGAUAAAACUUGAUUCUUCCAAUUACUCAUUAUGGAAGCCCACGAUGGAAGACAUCCUUUAUUGCAAGGAUUUGUAUGAGCCAAUUGUGAAAGACAAGAUACCCACGGGUGUCACGGAAGAAGAAUGGAGAGUGUUGCACAGAAAGGCAGUAGGUAUGAUUCGGUUGUACAUCAACCACAAUAUUUUCCACCAUGUUGCAAAUGACACAAAUGCAUAUGAGAUGUGGCAGAAGUUAGAGUCCAUGUAUGAGAGGAAGACAUCAUUGAACAAGGCCUCGGUGAUCAAAAGACUUGCAAAGCUUGAGUACCGAGAUGGCACAAGUGUGAUUGAGCACUUGAAUGUCUUCCAAUGCCAUAUAAAUCAACUUUCAGCCAUGAAGAUCAACUUUGAGGAUGAGGUGCAAGCAUUGUUGCUGCUGAGUUCCAUGCCUGAUAGUUGGAACACGCUUGUUGUGUCACUUAGCAAUUCAGCUCCGGAUGGGAAGCUGACUUUGGAGAUGGUGAAGAACAGUAUGCUGAAUGAAGAAGCCAGAAAGAAGGAAAAGGGUGAUGCCUCUUCUUCUGAUGCGUAUGUGGCUGAAACCCAUGGGAAGAAUGAGAACCGUGGACGCAACAAUACAAGAUUUCAGCAAGGCAAAAGCAAAUCCAGGGGGAGAUCAAAGUCAAAAUAGAGAAAAGAUAUCACUUGCUUUCAUUGUGGCAAUCCGGGACACAUAAAGAGCGAGUGCAGGAAGUACAAGAGAGAGCUUGCAGAGGGGAAACUCACAAAUAAAACCGAGCAAAAGGCUGAGAGCAGUUCAGCCAUGACCGCAAUAGAUGAGGACUAUCUAGUCAUUGAAGAUGAAGAUUGCUAUAGUGUUGUUCGUGAUGAUGCCAUGAGUUGGGUUGUGGAUUCAGGUGCGUCCUUCCACAUCACAUCACACAAGGAGUAUUUCACAUCUUACACUAGUGGUGUUACUGGCCAAGUGAGGAUGGGAAAUAGUGGUUCGUCAGCAAUUGUUGGCAAGGGCUCUAUAUGCAUUGAAACAAACACAGGUUGCAGAUUGGUGCUCGAUAAUGUGAGGCAUGUUCUCGACAUAAGGCUGAAUUUGUUGUCAGUGGGCAAGCUUGAUGAUAUCAAACAUCCUAGUUAUUUUGGUGAAGGAAAGUGGAAGCUCACCAAAGGCUCUUUGAUUGUGGCUCGAGGAAGUAAGCAAGGUAAUCUCUAUGUGACUAAAACCAAGUUGUGCAAUGAGGUGUUGAAUGUUCCGGAAAAAGACACUUCGGUUGAAUUGUGGCACAAGAGGCUUGGGCAUAUGAGUGAGAAGGGCAUGCAUGCUCUUGCUCGCCAUGGAGUACCUCCUGAGUUGAAAGGUAUAUCCUUGAAACCCUGUGCACAUUGUUUUGCUGGCAAACAACACAGGGCUGCAUUUCGUACACUCUCUCCACAUCGUGCAGAUAAUGUUCUUGAUAUUGUGCACACUAACGUUUGCUCCAUGACUGAAAAAUCUCAUGGCGGAGCAUUAUACUUUGUGACUUUUAUUGAUGACCAUUCCAGAAAGGUUUUUGUGUAUGUGCUGAAACACAAAUACCAAACGUUUGAAGCCUUCAAGGAGUUCCAUGCCAAAGUUGAAAGAGAAACUGGUAGGAAAUUGAAGUGCGUAAGAUCAGACAAUGGUGGUGAAUAUAGAGGUCCUUUUGAAAGGUAUUGAAGAAAUGUUGGCAUCAGGCUUGAGAAGAGUCCGCCAAAGACACCCCAGCUCAAUGGUCUUGCAGAGAGAAUGAACAUGACACUCACAGAGAGGGUCACAGUUAUGCUCUCUCAUGCUCAUUUACCUAAUUCAUUUUGGGCUGAAGCUUUGAUGAAUGCUAUGUAUGUGGUUAACCUAUCUCCAUCAGUUCCUCUUGCAGGUGAUAUUCCUCAGAGAGUUUGGUCAGGGAAGGAGGUAUCAUACAAGCACUUGAAGGUCUUUGGCUGCAGGGCAUUUGUACAUGUUCCAAGGGACGAGAGAUCCAAGCUUGAUAGCAAGACAAAGCAGUGCAUCUACCUCAGCUAACCAAGUGAAGAGUUUGGCUACAGGUUGUGGGAUCCAGCCAAUAGAAAGAUUGUGAGAAGCCGAGAUGUGGUGUUCAUUGAAGAUGAAACAAUAAAAGAUAUUGGGAAACCAGAGAAGCCAAUGACCAACACACCUCAGGUUGACAUGGAUCCAAUCCGUCCUCCUCUCGUGCAUGACAAUCAUGGGGGAGAUGAUGACACUGAAGACAGUGGAGAUGCAACUGAUCAAGGCAGUACAAGUCAAAGUGGCGAGCAGCCAUCAAGUGAUGAUGAUGAUGAAGUUGGUAAUGAUGAUGCCAACGAAAAUCCACCUGAUUGACCACCAGUGCAGCAGCAAAGAAGAAGUGAAAGAGGUCGCAUUCCUUCUUCUAAGUAUCCACCACAUCAAUAUGUGUUGAUGACAGAUGCAGGUGAGCCCUCAUGCUAUGAGGAGGCAAUGUCUGAUGAGAACAAAGAAGAAUGGUCAGAAGCCAUGCAAGAUGAGAUGAAUUCCUUGUAUGAGAAUUAUACUUUUGAGUUGGUGAAACUGCCAAAGGGCAAGAAAGCACUCAAGAACAAGUGGGUGUACAGAGUGAAGACUGAAGAAAACACCUCACAUCCAAGGUACAAGGCCAGAUUGGUUGGGAAAGGAUUCAGUCAGAAAAAGGGCAUUGAUUAUAGUAAGAUAUUCUCUCCAGUGGUCAAGAUGUCUUCGAUCCGAGUUGUGCUUGGCAUGGCUGCCACCAUGGACAUGGAAAUUGAACAACUUGAUGUGAAGACAACUUUCUUGCAUGGUGACCUAGAGGAGGAGAUAUACAUGGAGCAGCCAGAGGGAUUCAUGGUUGCAGGUAAGGAGCACUUAGUUUGCAAAUUGAAGAAGAGCUUGUAUGGCUUGAAGCAAGCUCCUCGGCGGUGGUACAAGAAGUUUGAGUCUUUUAUGACUGGGCUUGGUCACCAUAAAGCACAACCUGACCAUUGUAUCUUUAUGAAGAGGUACGCCGAGGGUGACUUCAUUAUUCUCUUGUUGUAUGUUGAUGAUAUGCUGAUUGUUGGAAAUGGCACAAAGAGGAUUGCUCUCCUCAAGAAGUCAUUGAGUAAAUCAUUUGCCAUGAAGGAUUUAGGACCAGCUAAGCAAAUACUUGGCAUGAAGAUCUCCCGUGAUAGAUCAAAGAAGCUGCUUUGGCUCUCACGGGAAAGAUACAUUGAGAAGGUACUUGAAAGGUUCAAUAUGAAAGAUGCAAAAUCUGUUCUCUCUCCGCUUGCAGGCCAUCACAAACUGAAUUCUAAACAAUGUCCUACAAGCAAGAAGGAGAAAGAAGAAAUGAGGAAAGUACCUUACCAAUCUGCCGUGGGCAGUUUGAUGUAUGCCAUGGUAUGCACUAGGCCUGACAUUGCCUAUGCAGUUGGAGUUGUUAGCCGGUUCAUGAAAAAUCCAGGUAAAGCUCACUGGGAAGCAGUGAAGUGGAUUCUCAGGUAUCUCAAGGGUACUCCUACAUCUUGUCUAUGCUUUGGAAGUGGUGAUCCUGUAUUGCAGGGCUAUACAGAUGCAGAUUAUGCAGGUGACAAGGAUCGUAGGAAGUCCACAUCCGGAUACCUGAUGACUUAUGCAGGGGGAGCAGUGUCAUGGAAAUCAAGAUUGCAGAAAUGUGUUUCUACAUCAACUACAGAAACUGAGUACAUUGCAGCAGUUGAUGCUGGCAAGAAAGUUUUGUGGAUGAAGAACUUCUUGCAAGAGCUCAGCAUGAAGCAAGAGAAGUAUGUUCAGUUUUGUGAUAGUCAGAGUGCUAUUCAUCUUGCCAAGAAUUCAAGCUAUCACUCUCGAACCAAGCACAUUGAUGUGAGGUACCAUUGGAUUCGAGAUGUUGUGAGUUCCAAGUUGCUGAAACUUGAGAAGAUCCAUACAGACGACAAUGGUUCGGAUAUGAUGACCAAGAUAUUACCAAAUGAGAAGCUACAAGCAUGUUGCAAGGUAGCGGGCAUGGCGCUGCCCCCCUCAUGAGUCGGAGGGGGAGAUUUGUUGGGAUAUCCUCCUCAUGUGGGCUGUGAGGAGAUGGUCAUUUGAGGCCUUUUAGGCAGCCCAUAGAGGUGCAAAAGCCCACUACCCAUUAGGGUUAUGACCUAGGGUCAUUUUGGACUUUGCACAUGAGUGGAUGGGGAUGCUUUACCCUCCAUCCAGUAGCCAUCACCAAGUGUGACGAAAAUCAGUUCAUCCUCCAAGAGAGAAGAAGAGAGAAAACCAAGAGAGCAAGGGAAGAAGAGGAAGAUUGAAGGAAGAAGCAAGGGAGCUCCUCCCCAAGGUUGUGAUGGUCCAGAUCCACUACCUUGUCUCCUUCAAGCUUCGGUUCCACCAUCCUUGGUGAGAUUGUUCCAAUCCCUAGUUCUUGAGCUCCAAAUCCUGUUGUGUUCAUCCAAGAUUCAGAAAUCUUGAUGUAUGAGAUCCUCUAGUGCUGUCUAGAGAAGAACUUGUUGUAUCCCACGUUUGAUAAUAGUGGAAGAGGAUUUGGGUGGCUUCGGCCCGUGGUUUUUCCCCUCAAGUUGGG
rnacentral:lncRNA from 1 species